rnacentral:rRNA from 1 species
UACGUAGGGGGCAAGCGUUGUCCGGAAUCAUUGGGCGUAAAGAGCGUGUAGGCGGCCCGAUAAGUCCGCCGUGAAAGUCCAGGGCUCAACCCUGGAAUGCCGGUGGAAACUGUCGGGCUGGAGUCCGGAAGAGGCGAGUGGAAUUCCUGGUGUAGCGGUGAAAUGCGCAGAUAUCAGGAAGAACACCCGUGGCGAAGGCGGCUCUCUGGGACGGUACUGACGCUGAGACGCGAAAGCGUGGGGAGCAAACAGG